rnacentral:rRNA from 1 species
CAGUUCGGAUUGUAGUCUGCAACUCGACUACAUGAAGCUGGAAUCGCUAGUAAUCGCGGAUCAGAAUGCCGCGGUGAAUACGUUCCCGGGUCUUGUACACACCGCCCGUCACACCAUGGGAGUCGGGAAUGCCCGAAGCCAGUGACCCAAGCGAGAGCAGGGAGCUGUCGAAGGCAGGCCGGAUAACUGGGGUGAAGUCGUAACAAGGUACC